rnacentral:lncRNA from 1 species
CGCAGGAGACAGAGAGGUCAAGGGAAUCUCAAAGAGGAUGUGCAUAUGACGUGGAGAGCAAUGAGUUCAAAUGGAAGUAGUACGAUUUCAGAGACCGACACAGUGAGGACUGUUAUCACCAAGCUAUCUACAGUCAUCAUAAUGUCUUUACCUGGAGGAAAAAGUUCCCAGCCAGGAUCAGCUGAGGAUACUCCCUGCCCCCUAAGAAGUAUUCUGAUUUGCCCAUUCCUGAGAUCUGAAGGCAAAGAAACUGAGACACAGAGAAAUUCAGGAACAAGUCUGAAGUGACACAGCAGAUAAGCAGUGGAUGCCAAGUGUGUCCCCAGAUGGACUAAAACUAAAGCCCACCGCGUUACCCUCUGCUCCGCGGUGCCUCCCCGGACUGCAGCCCUUCUAAGCUCCCCAUGUGAGAGUGUCCAAUGAGAAGCUCCCCUCCUUGUUGAGCUGAAG